rnacentral:lncRNA from 1 species
CGGUAAUGUGCGAGUGCCUAACCCGGCCGUCGCCGGCGUUGCAAGGGUUAGCGAAGCCGAGCGCGUACGCGAAUGGCGACGUCGCGUCUGCAACACCGACGAGGCGCGAGCCAGGGAAGCCGAACGCAAGCGUCGGCAGCAGAAGACCAACGACACCGACGAGGCGCGAGCCCAGAACGCCGAGCGCGUUCGAGAAUGGAGACGGCGCACCGGCAACACCGACGAGAAGCGAGCCAAGGAAGCCGCGCGUUCG